GACGAACGCUGGCGGCGUGCUUAACACAUGCAAGUCGAACGGUGACGCACCUUCGGGUGCUGAUCAGUGGCGAACGGGUGAGUAACACGUGGGCAACCUGCCCCUGACUCUGGGAUAACUCCUCGAAAGAGGUGCUAAUACCGGAUAUCACCUCCCUCGGCAUCGGGGGAGGUCGAAAGUUUUUCGGUCAGGGAUGGGCCCGCGGCCUAUCAGCUAGUUGGUGGGGUAAUGGCCCACCAAGGCGACGACGGGUAGCCGGCCUGAGAGGGCGACGGGCCAGACUGGGACUGAGACACGGCCCCGACUCCUACGGGAGGCAGCAGGGGGGAAUAUUGCGCAAUGGGCGAAAGCCUGACGCAGCAACGCCGCGUGAGGGAUGACGGCCUUCGGGUUGUAAACCUCUUUCAGCGGGGACGAAGCGAAAGUGACUGUACCCGCAGAAGAAGCGCCGGCUAACUACGUGCCAGCCGCCGCCGUAACAC
rnacentral:rRNA from 1 species